rnacentral:rRNA from 1 species
AACAAACGCUGGCGGCGUGCCUAAUACAUGCAAGUCGAACGGGGAAAGCUUUCGGGUGAGUACUAGUGGCGCACGGGUGGGUAACGCGUGGAUAAUCUGCCUUAGAGUGGGGGAUAACUAGUCGAAAGAUUAGCUAAUACCGCAUAAGACCACAAGAACUGCGGUUCAAGGGGUCAAAGGUUUUUCGCCCUAAGAGUAGUCCGCGUAAGAUUAGCUAGUUGGUAUGGUAAAGGUCUACCAAGGCGACGAUCUUUAACUGGUCUGAGAGGAUGAUCAGUCACACUGGAACUGAGACACGGUCCAGACUCCUACGGGAGGCAGCAGUAGGGAAUAUUGCACAAUGGAGGAAACUCUGAUGCAGCGACGCCGCGUGAGUGAUGAAGGCCUUCGGGUCGUAAAGCUCUGUCGCAGGGGAAUAACACAAUGAAGGUACCCUGUAAGAAAGGAUCGGCUAACUUCGUGCCAGCCGCCGCCGUAACAC